AGCCUGAUCCAGCCAUGCCGCGUGUGUGAAGAAGGCCUUCGGAUUGUAAAGCACUUUAAGUUGGGAGGAAGGGCAGUAAGCUAAUACCUUGCUGUUUUGACGUUACCAACACAAUAAGCACCGGCUAACUUCGUGCCAGCACCGCGGUAAUACA
rnacentral:rRNA from 1 species